GGGCGUUGGAAUUGAUUUCCUCCCCGAGUCUGGGCAUGGUGAAGAAAGCUAAACACGACACACCCGUUGGAAAACUGUCGGACUCACUGAGCAGAGGAGCGCUGCUGAAAAGGGUCUUUUGACUAGAGAGGCAACCAGUAUUUUCUGUUACAACUGUGGAGAGGACGGAUAUCUCAAGCAAAACUGUGAGGGACAGGAAAAUCUUCAGAAAGGAGUAAGACUCUGCUGUGUCAAGACCAAAUGAAGCUGGU